GGAUGUGGAUCUCUUGGAAGGGAGGGAGACCUAAAAGGACUGAGCAGGAGGUCUGGAAGGGGGCAACUUUCAAGCAGAGCCAACUCAGAAGGCAGCUUUGACAUCCUGCAUGUACAAGGAGACCUUUGCAGAGCCUCUGGACUCUCCUUAAACACGAGUUUCUCCCUCCCUGGUGCUUUUUGGGGUCACCCUGAGUGUGAGUUGGCCGGACACGGAUGGGAUGGCACUGCAGGUUGGGAACAUGGACAUCUCUGUGCUUGGAUUAGCAUCCCACUCUCAGAUUACCAUCCUGCAGUCAGAAUAGCUCCAGUUCCUCCUGACAAUUAGCAGAGAGAGUCUGUACGACACACGGGGUGAUUACGUCGCCAUCGCAGCCUCUGUGGCCAGCACUGCCUUAUUAAAGGAGGGCCCCUCUUUCCAGGAGAACAUUGUGAUCAAAUUAGACUAAAAUUAACUGGAGUAAAUUAAGAA